AAGGUUACUGGAACAAAUGCUGAUUAACUCAUUUUUGUCACAACACUGGUUAAGUUUUGCAACCGAAAAAAAAACUGUUUUUUCAUGUUGUGCAUGUUGUGUGAGCUGAUUGGUUGAUUAUUAAUAUUCUUUUGUUUGGGUCGCUGGCCAUAAUCUGUACUGUUCUUCUGUGCAGAAGACGUCUAAUGUUUGCAUGACCUCGUAAAAAUAUGUUUACAAGAGCGAUGAUCAAAUUCAUAUCUUUACUACAAUACUAAUUACAAAUUCUGUCAAAAUGUCAUUGUGAGAUCGGAGGCACAAGAAAUUUUGACAAUUAAUCUGUUUCUUUUUCUUUUUCUUUAUAAAUUAUACAUGUUAUGUUUUAAGUCAAAAUUGCUGAUUGCUGAGAACUCAAUACUGGCCUUACUUUAAAAUUGGAUUAUUGCAAAAAGAACAAUGCAAGAACAUUUAUCACCUUGUUCAUCAGUAUAUCAUAUCCGUGCCAAUUUGAGCACAUUGCUUACUUGAAGCCAACAAUAUAUAUAAAUAUAUAUCAAUCAAUCAAGUAUUUUGUUUUGCUAAUGGACCCCUAAUACUAAAGACUUUUUCCUUUUAAACAUAUGAACGAUUAGUCUUGUGUCUUGAUUAUGUAUUGAUUAUUUAUCAUUUAUUUAUAAGUGUGGUCAAUGUAACGGCAUUUUCAUUUUUUAUGUAAAAAUAUUUUUUUUAUUUGAUAUAUAUAUUAAAUUAAAUAAAAUUCAAAAAUAUUAAGUACAUAUAUAUAAUUAAAAUAUUUAAUUUUAGAACUGAGUCAAACCCAAGUGCAAUCAACGAUGUAAUUCGUAUAAAAAUGCAACAGUCUAACGAGCAGUUCAGCAAUCAGUUCAUUAUGGUAAUUAUGCAAACUGCCUCAGAAGGUCAGAUUCGAUAUCAUUAGGAGUCAUCUAUGACUUACUUUGGCUUUGAAAAGUACUAUAGGAAGUUACACCUCUGUUUUGGGUAGUUAUUUCCUCCCUUUAGUAGUAGUUAAAUCAAUUAUGACAUUUUUUUUUCACAUGGAAAUGCGCACACUUCAGAAAGUGAAGAGGAGACACGAAUACAGUAUGUGUAUUAUACAUAAACAUGAUGUAUACAUAUAUUGUAUAUCUUUUUUGUAAAAGCUACAAAUGUAUGGAUGCAAUGCAUCAUGUGUAAUCAAUGAAGUUAUGAAGAGCCAAUGAUUUAUACCCUUCAAAUAUACAGGUAGUAGCACGUUAUGAAUAAACACUCCUUGUCUAUGCA